AUUGAACGCUGGCGGCGUGCUUAACACAUGCAAGUCGAUCGGUAACGCGGGGGCAACCCUGGCGACGAGAGGCGGACGGGUGAGGAACGCUUGGGAAUCUGCCUAUCAGCGGGGGACAACACGGGGAAACUUGUGCUAAUACCGCAUACGCUCUACGGAGGAAAGCCGGGGACCGCAAGGCCUGGCACUGAUAGAUGAGCCCAAGCCGGAUUAGCUAGUUGGCGGGGUAACGGCCCACCAAGGCGACGAUCCGUAGCUGGUCUGAGAGGACGAUCAGCCACACUGGAACUGAGACACGGUCCAGACUCCUACGGGAGGCAGCAGUGGGGAAUAUUGGACAAUGGGGGAAACCCUGAUCCAGCGACGCCGCGUGGGUGAAGAAGGCCUGCGGGUUGUAAAGCCCUUUCGGUAGGGACGAAAGCUCUCGGCCUAACACGUCGGGAGGUUGACUUAACCUACAAAAGAAGCACCGGCUAACUCUGUGCCAGCCGCCGCUGUAAUAC
rnacentral:rRNA from 1 species